rnacentral:rRNA from 1 species
UUUAAAGUCUAACCUGCCCAAUGAGUAAUUGAAUGGCCGCGGUAAUUUGACCGUGCAAAGGUAGCAUAAUCAUUAGUUUUUUAAUUGAAAGCUGGAAUGAAUGGUUGGACGAGAAAAUGACUGUCUCAAGUUAAGUUAAUAUAGAAUUUUAUUUAUAAGUAAAAAAGCUUAUAUGUAUUUAAAAGACGAGAAGACCCUAUAGAGUUUUAUAUUAAUUUAUUAUUAGUAUUUUUAGUAUAUUGUAAUAUUGAUAUUAAAAAUUUAUUUUGUUGGGGUGAUGGGAAAAUUAAGUUAACUUUUUUUUUAUAUUUACAUUGAUUUAUGAGUUAUUGAUCCAUUAAUUAUGAUUAUAAGAUUAAAUUACCUUAGGGAUAACAGCGUAAUUUUUUUUAGAGUUCUUAUCAAAGAAAGAGUUUGCGACCUCGAUGUUGGAUUAAAAUUAACUUUUGGUGUAGGUGCUAAAAGGUUAGGUCUGUUCGACCUUUAAAAUUUUACAUGAUCUGAGUUUAAACCGGCGUGAGCCAGGUUGGUUUCUAUCUUUAAAUAGAUUAGAUGUUUUAGUACGAAAGGAUUAGACAUUUAUAAAAUUUAUAAUAUUUGAAUAUUAAUG